rnacentral:rRNA from 1 species
AUUGAACGCUGGCGGCAGGCUUAACACAUGCAAGUCGAGCGGGGGAAGGUAGCUUGCUACCGGACCUAGCGGCGGACGGGUGAGUAAUGCUUAGGAAUCUGCCUAUUAGUGGGGGACAACAUCUCGAAAGGGAUGCUAAUACCGCAUACGUCCUACGGGAGAAAGCAGGGGAUCUUCGGACCUUGCGCUAAUAGAUGAGCCUAAGUCGGAUUAGCUAGUUGGUGGGGGAAAGGCCAACCAAGGCGACGAUCUGUAGCGGGUCUGAGAGGAUGGUCCGCCACACUGGGACUGAGACACGGCCCAGACUCCUACGGGAGGCAGCAGUGGGGAAUAUUGGACAAUGGGGGGAACCCUGAUCCAGCCAUGCCGCGUGUGUGAAGAAGGCCUUAUGGUUGUAAAGCACUUUAAGCGAGGAGGAGGCUACUCUAGUUAAUACCUAGGGAUAGUGGACGUUACUCGCAGAAUAAGCACCGGCUAACUCUGUGCCAGCCGCCGCCGUAA